AGUGAACGCUGGCGGUAGGCCUAACACAUGCAAGUCGAACGGCAGCACAGUAAGAGCUUGCUCUUACGGGUGGCGAGUGGCGGACGGGUGAGGGAUACAUCGGAAUCUACUUUUUCGUGGGGGAUAACGUAGGGAAACUUACGCUAAUACCGCAUACGACCUACGGGUGAAAGCAGGGGAUCUUCGGACCUUGCGCGAUUGAAUGAGCCGAUGUCGGAUUAGCUAGUUGGCGGGGUAAAGGCCCACCAAGGCGACGAUCCGUAGCUGGUCUGAGAGGAUGAUCAGCCACACUGGAACUGAGACACGGUCCAGACUCCUACGGGAGGCAGCAGUGGGGAAUAUUGUACAAUGGGCGCAAGCCUGAUCCAGCCAUACCGCGUGGGUGAAGAAGGCCUUCGGGUUGUAAAGCCCUUUUGUUGGGAAAGAAAAGCAGCAGGUUAAUACCCCGCUGUUCUGACGGUACCCAAAGAAUAAGCACCGGCUAACUUCGUG
rnacentral:rRNA from 1 species